GACGAACGCUGGCGGCGUGCCUAAUACAUGCAAGUCGAACGAGAGCGACCGGUGCUUGCACUGGUCAAUCUAGUGGCGAACGGGUGAGUAACACGUGGGUAACCUGCCCAUCAGAGGGGGAUAACAUCCGGAAACGGAUGCUAAAACCGCAUAGGUCUUCGAGCCGCAUGGCUUGAAGAGGAAAAGAGGCGCAAGCUUCUGCUGAUGGAUGGACCCGCGGUGCAUUAGCUAGUUGGUGAGGUAACGGCUCACCAAGGCCGUGAUGCAUAGCCGACCUGAGAGGGUGAUCGGCCACAUUGGGACUGAGACACGGCCCAAACUCCUACGGGAGGCAGCAGUAGGGAAUCUUCCGCAAUGGAUGCAAGUCUGACGGAGCAACGCCGCGUGAGUGAAGAAGGUUUUCGGAUCGUAAAACUCUGUUGUUAGAGAAGAACAAGUGCUAGAGUAACUGUUAGCGCCUUGACGGUAUCAAACCAGAAAGCCACGGCUAACUACGUG
rnacentral:rRNA from 1 species